AUUGAAAAGAAUUUGUUUAUACCUGGACGACUGGUUUCUUAAAUUUUGAUGACGAUAGUGGUAUGUUCUGUUUGAUUUGAUUCAGUCGUCCAUUUGUUUCUUAACAAAACCCGCAAAAUGUGUUGAACAAAAGGUCAGGAUUUUUUUUUUAUCAAACAAGAAAUAAACAUAACUUAUUGUAUAAAUAUUCAUACUAAACUUCAAUAAAUUGCUUUACGUCAUACUAAAACAAAUAAUCGGAAGAACACAAAGUUUUACAAAAUAACAAAACUCGAGGUAAUUAAAAGAUGGGGCUCUGAAAAAAAAAUCGUUAUUCUUUUUCGCUCAUCGAAACGAAUUGAAAAUUAUUGUUGUUAUCUUGACGUCAUCAAAUGUUUAUGACAAUGUUAAUAAAAUUAAUCCUACUGUGAGACUCUUGAAAGAUGAAAGAGCAUGUCGUUGGUCAAUUGAUCAUUUAUCAGAAAAAAAAUCGUACUACUUUGCAUAAAUAACAUAAAUGAAUCCUCUGUUUGUUUUUCAAUCGCCUUGUUUUGUAUCAAAAUAUAAUUCUAUUUUCAAACGGUUAAUAUGCAUUUUGAGCAAUUUGUUGUUUUGAUAAAAUAUAUAAAAAUAUAAAAAUAGAAGUGUGCCAUAGCGUUAGGUAUAGGUGAUUUGAGUUAAACUAACCUUUUUAAUACGUAAAAGAGUGACUGUGUAAAAUUUAUUGUACGACUUAGCCCACAGCAGAGCUAUAGAAAAUCAGUACAGGUGUAACUUUGUGCUUUGUGACUUUGUAUUUGUUUGGCUUUAUAACUAUGUUGGUAUGAGCGUCACUGAUGAGUCUUAUGUAUACAAAACGUGCAUCUGGCGUAUUAACUUAUAAUACUGGUUGCUUUGAUUAUUUAUUAAACACUUUAAGUUGAUACACGGACCCCUUACAGUUGUUACACUGUCACUUUUUAUCAUCACUCGCCCAUGCUCAGUGAGGUUAUGGACACUUCAAAUUUCAAUUAAAUUUGAACUUUUUAUUUUACCGACAUAGUUUCCAUUCUUUCUUAUUUAGAUAUUUAUGUUGACAUCAGUAACUAUAUUUUCAAGUUUAACAGUUCAAGUACAUUACUAUUCAUAUCAGUACAUUACAGGGAUUGAUAAUUUAUCUUCAAAAACUCGUGUUAAAAGGAGUGAAUGAACCAAAAAGUUUUCUUAAACUGUAACUUACACUAACUGGUAUUUUUUUUCUUUCUUCAACCGAUUUAUGAACACCGGUAUGCAUGUUAUAUUACCGUUUCGUUUAUUUUCACAUUGUCGUUGAAGUUUUUGAUCUGUUGCAUUUUGCUACCUCCUCUAACUGAAAAAUGUACUUCUUCUUUCUUGAAACGUCAAUAAGUUGUCUACAAAACAAAGAAAAAAAGAAAAAAAAACAUAAAACAGGCCGGAAACAGACUGCCUUAUAAUUCUUCUGCAUGCAAAUAUAAAAAUAAGAUGUGGCGUGAUUGCCAAUGAUACAGCUUUUCAUUAGAGACCAAUUAAAAUGACACAAAAAUAGUGUUUGUUACAUAUACUAUCGUAAGAGAUAUAGGGGCGAGGAUUGAGAUCUCACAAAACAUGUUUAAACCUAAAACAUGUGUGCGCCUGUCUGAAGCAUCUGACCAUGUUAAUGUUUUAUUUUUUUUUUAAUUUUAGUUCAUUUAUAUGUUUAAGAUUUUAGUGUGAGGUCAAUUUUAAGUGAACUUGUACACUUUUUUGUUUAGGGACUAGCUGGGCCCGUUUCCAUUUCGGGAGUGGCAUUUCCUAGCUGAAGACCAUAUCGAUAUCUUGAUCUGUUUUCUGUUCUGGUCGGGCUGUUGUCCCUUUGACACAUUCCUAUUUCAAUUCUCAAUUGUAUACUACAUUUGUUCUUCGUUCUGCAGUUAAAUAUUAAAAAUUCGAAAUAUGGACAAUUCAUUUUUUUUCUGUAUACAGCUGAUAUAGCAAACAUGAACCGAAACGCAAGAAAUCAUAAAAAGACUGACGAUCAAAAUGUACAGGGAUUGAGAAAAGUAAGCUUCUGGGAAAAAUACGGCGCCAAAUGUUUUCCUUAUCGUGGGAGGCGCAGAUACUAACCAUUUGUUUACCGAUCUGAAUACGGAGGGAUAGUUAUCUCAAAUGACGUUUUUGGGCUGACAAUCAGACAGUUUGAACGCACGUAUAAUGCGUGUUUAGACAGAAGAAAAGCACACGAGCAGUACAUACUUAAUAUUAGAUAUCCUGACAAAACAUCAGACAGAUAUAUGGAAUACUUAGAGAACAAUAGAUAUAACAAUACAG
rnacentral:lncRNA from 1 species